GAUGAACGCUGGCGGCGUGCCUAAUACAUGCAAGUCGAACGAGUUCUUCGGAACUAGUGGCGGACGGGUGAGUAACACGUUGGUACCUACCCCGAAGUGGGGAAUAACUGGCCGAAAGGUCGGCUAAUACCGCAUAAUACCGUAAGGUUAAAGCAGUAAUGCGCUUCGGGAGGGGCCUGCGUCGGAGUAGCUAGUUGGUAGUGUAAUGGACUACCAAGGCGACGAUCAGUAGCGGGAUCGAGAGGUUGACCAGCCACACUGGGACUGAGAUACGGGCCAGACUCCUACGGGAGGCAGCAGUAAGGAAUCUUCCACAAUGGACGAAAGUCUGAUGGAGCAACGCCGCGUGCAGGAUGACGGCCUUCGGGUUGUAAACUGCUUUUAUAUGGGAAGAUUAUGACGGUACCAUAUGAAUAAGCACCGGCUAACUACGUGCCAGCAGCCGCCGCGG
rnacentral:rRNA from 1 species